rnacentral:lncRNA from 1 species
GGCAGGACCAGCUUUAAAAGAAGGCUGUAAGCUCAGACAACAAGUAGCAAAAGAAACACUGACCACUCACAGGCUGGUGCUGAAAAAAAUGCAUUGUCCAUACUAAUGACAACCCACUGUGUACCUCCUCCCAUGCUCUCCAGCGGUGCAGCUUGUGGUGGUCAGUUGCCUGUUUUUCCUCGCUGUGAACGCUUUUAAUUAAAAGGAAGGGAUUCAGAACCUGCGGAUGUGGAGGGCCAGAGGGCUGAAUUUGCAAGUUGGGCAAUGGGGAAAGCCUUCACAAAGGAGAAAGCCUUUGGGCUGGAAUUGGAGGAGUAGGAGUCAAUAGAGAGAGAAGAGAGUAAAGGGCAAGGCCAUCAUUCCAGGUUUAGGGAGCAAGUACAAAGACACAGAGAAAUGAAAAGGCUUGGCCUGUUUGGAGAAUGUCAAGCUGUCUGGGGUUGAGAGAAAGACAUUCUAACAAGGCUUCCAUUAAAGAGGCUAGAUUUGCUGCUUGGACAUUUUCUAGCUCUUCUGAGACAACUUUUUGUUGAGUUAAGCGAAAAUGAAUGAAAAUCAGAUGGACCAUAUUUCUCUUGAAUGCACACGGGCUUAAAAACGAAGGGGAAAAAGAACUUGACAGAAUGUGUCUUGGCUUUUGCCAAACCCAAAGUAUUUGAAAAAUCACACAGUACACAUCUCGAACCCAAAAACAUGCCUGGAUUCUACCACCCCUAACUGCAGCUGCAGCCAUUUAAUAAAAUGAAUUGUGUACAAGAAAA